ACCUGAGCCAAAACUGAGAGUCGGAUUCUUAACCGACUGAGUCACCUAGGUGCCCCGCCUUUCUCCUCUUAUAUUUGUAAAAGCAACUAUUAGAAUGUCCUUACCCCAACUCCAGUGCCCCCAUGAUACUAUAUUAAUAUCAUUAAGAAUGAUCCCCUCUGAGUAAAUCUCAUUAUCUUCUGAAAUAACUCAAGAAGGUCCAUGUACAUCAUUCUCCAUAGGCCGAAUUCUUAAAUUCCAUAAGUCAUUUGCAUCUUAGCUCAGAGGCUAGAUGCACCCUAUUUGGCUCAGAGCGCAUUGAUUCCAAGGUAUUGCAGUGUCCAAACUGAGUUAUUUAUUAAGCUUGAUGACACCUCUAAAUUCUGUCUUGUGUGUCCACAGGAUGCAGAAACAUUCUUGCAAAUGGGAUUCCUAGGAAAACCUGGAAUUUCCUAGACCAAAUGAGCAUGUUAAGAGAAUAGAUUUUGGUAUUACUCAGACGUGAGCCAACAUUUAUUAACUCUAUGACCAUCUUCAAGUUCUAAAUCUUUGUUAAGUCUUCUAGCCUCACUUUUACACUUGUAGAAUGGGGAUGUCUCCCUCCUUCAGAUGCCGCUGUGAGGACUACUUGCAGUGUCGGAGGUAAGUAAAUCAGCAGGGGAGGAGCAUCCCACGAUUCGACUGCAUUGACACGCAUGUACUUGAAUGUUUAUGCCUUUGAAGAAUCACCCUGCAGACAUUUGCCUUGAACAAAGUUUCAUUUGGCUUUCGGCCAGCAUGCCUUUGCUGGACUCCAGUUACUGCCCUGGAUCUGUCCACCUUUCCCUGUCUGAUUACAUUCACUACUGAGAGUUGUCUCUGUCCAUGGCAAGGUUAGUCCCUCUCUGUAGAGACAGAAGUUCAUGCCAUACAUUUUAAAUGAAGACUGUUUAAAGACCUAGAUCCUAAAUAUGUUUACCUACCAUCUCUUCAAAUAAAGUAUAGAUGUUCUAUUCUAUAACUAA